UACGGAAGGCAGCAGUGGGGAAUAUUGCACAAUGGGCGAAAGCCUGAUGCAGCUAUGCCGCGUGUAUGAAGAAGGCCUUAGGGUUGUAAAGUACUUUCAUCGGGGAGGAAAAACAAAACUAAUAAUUUUAUUUCUUGACGUUACCCGAAAAAGAAGCACCGGCUAACUCCGUGCCAGCAGCCGCGGUAAUACGGAGGGUGCUAGCGUUAAUCAGAAUUACUGGGCGUAAAGAGCACGUAGGUGGUUUUUUUAAGUCAGAUGUGAAAUCCCUGGGCUUAACCUAGGAACUGCAUUUUGAAACUGAAAUACUAGAGUAUCGUAGAGGGAGGUAGAAUUCUAGGUGUAGCGGUGAAAUGCGUAGAUAUCUGGAGGAAUACCUGUGGCGAAAGCGGCCUCUAAACGGAAUCUGACACUGAGGUGCGAAAGCGUGGGGAGCAAACAGGGAUUAGAUACCCGU
rnacentral:rRNA from 1 species